rnacentral:rRNA from 1 species
AUUGAACGCUGGCGGCAUGCUUUACACAUGCAAGUCGAACGGUAACAGGCCUUCGGGUGCUGACGAGUGGCGAACGGGUGAGUAAUGCAUCGGAACGUACCCAGAGGUGGGGGAUAACGCAGCGAAAGCUGUGCUAAUACCGCAUGUGAUCUGAGGAUGAAAGCGGGGGACCGAGCAGCAAUGUUUGGCCUCGCGCCUUUGGAGCGGCCGAUGUCGGAUUAGCUAGUUGGUGGGGUAAAGGCCUACCAAGGCGACGAUCCGUAGCUGGUCUGAGAGGACGACCGGCCACACUGGAACUGAGACACGGCCCAGACUCCUACGGGAGGCAGCAGUGGGGAAUUUUGGGCAAUGGGCGCAAGCCUGAUCCAGCAAUGCCGCGUGCGGGAAGAAGGCCUUCGGGUUGUAAACCGCUUUUGGCAGGAACGAAACGGUGUCCGCUAAUACCGGGCGCUAAUGACGGUACCUGCAGAAUAAGCACCGGCUAACUACGUG